CAUCUAAGGCUAAAUAUGACCACGAGACCGAUAGCGAACAAGUACCGUGAGGGAAAGUUGAAAAGCACUUUGAAGAGAGAGUUCAAGAGUACGUGAAACCGUUUAGGGGUAAACCUGAGAAACCCGAAAGGUCGAAGGGAGAAAUUCAUUCGCGUUUCGUCGCAGGCGUGGGACGGGGUCGAGUGACGGAAAGCGUUCGCGCGCUUUUCGCGCCCUCCGUUCUACGAACCGGUAACGAACGCGUGCACUUUUCUCUUGGUAGGACGUCGCGAUCCGUUGGGUGUCGGUCUACGGCUCGCGGUGGAGCCCGUUCGUACGUUUCGCGACGUACGGGCGGACCCGCGUGUCCCGGCUGGCUCGCUCGACGGUAUAAGAAAGGUUUAAGGCCGCUCUCGGAGCGUUCGGCUCGUUGCAAGCGCGCCAGAUGCGUCGGCGAUCGGACCUGGUGCCGAUUCUGACCUCUGGUGACUGUUGGCCGCGAAGUUCUCGAACAGACCUUCUAAAAACCGAUCUGCGACGCUAUAGCUUUGGGUACUUUCAGGACCCGUCUUGAAACACGGACCAAGGAGUCUAGCAUGUGCGCGAGUCAUUGGGAAUCACUAAACCUAAAGGCGCAAUGAAAGUAAAGGUCCCCCUCGCGGGGACUUAGGGAAGACGAGCGGUUUCACCCUUAAAAGUGGCCGCUCCGCACUCCCGGGGCGUCUCGUUCUCAUUGCGAGAAGAGGCGCACCAAGAGCGUACACGCUGGGACCCGAAAGAUGGUGAACUAUGCCUGGUCA
rnacentral:rRNA from 1 species